GAGGGAUGUUGAUGCCAUGGUCACCAUGGAGAAACUGUUCAACACAAGCUGGAACUGAGUCAGAACAGGAGCUGCUCUGCUGCUAUGGUGACCCCCAAACUUAACGAGGCAUGGAAUAAGAAAACCCUGGAGGAGAGUGCUGAUGGGGAGACCAUUAGAGAAGGCUGGAGCUCCCUCUAGGGGCAGAAAAAGCAAAAGUUCCAAGAAUGUGCCCAUCUCUGAACAAAGCUGAUGGAGGCCAAGAGCAUGUGAUUGAUCGCUGCUAACUCUUAGUCACAUGCCAGAGUCUAGCUCUGGGAGUGCCAUGAACUCCAUCUGAACCACGUGAGCAGAGAAAAUAGCUAAGAAGAUUUUCACCAAGGACAACUGCAACAUUGCUCGCAGAAGAAGGAUCAAUGAAAGCUGGCA